rnacentral:rRNA from 1 species
GACGAACGCUGGCGGCGUGCCUAAUACAUGCAAGUUGAGCGAUGAAGAUUGGUGCUUGCCCCAAUUUGAAGAGCAGCGAACGGGUGAGUAACGCGUGGGGAAUCUGCCUUUGAGCGGGGGACAACAUUUGGAAACGAAUGCUAAUACCGCAUAACAACUUUAAACAUAAGUUUUAAGUUUGAAAGAUGCAAUUGCAUCACUCAAAGAUGAUCCCGCGUUGUAUUAGCUAGUUGGUGAGGUAAAGGCUCACCAAGGCGAUGAUACAUAGCCGACCUGAGAGGGGGAUCGGCCACAUUGGGACUGAGACACGGCCCAAACUCCUACGGGAGGCAGCAGUGGGGAAUCUUCGGCAAUGGACGAAAGUCUGACCGAGCAACGCCGCGUGAGUGAAGAAGGGUUUCGGAUCGUAAAACUCUGUUGGUAGAGAAGAACGUUGGUGAGAGUGGAAAGCUCAUCAAGUGACGGUAACUACCCAGAAAGGGACGGCUAACUACGUG